CCCCCCCCGCUGCCCGGGGCCGCAGAUGCUGGCCGGGAGCGGGCAUUCAGGAUUGGGACCCAACCCUGAGCGGUCUUAUCAAGUCCCUUUCCUUGCUGGCCUGCCCCCCAGAGGCAAAGAGGACAUUGAAAAAUGAACCCUCCGGGGAUCCUUGCAAGCCAACCUGUUCUCUUUUACGAAAGCGGUGUUUCCCUCAGACGGCACGGGAUUCCGGUCUUCUGAGGCCCGAGCUGGCCUUUGAGUCCGUUUCAGGGCCUGCUUUUUCUGUAAGUGGAGACCGGGCAAUCUAGGAGGCGGGGGCCACGGGCUUGUGUCGGGUGGUCUUCUGGCUCUGUGGUGCCCUGCCGUCCCCACCUGCUGGGCACCUGGGUGACUGGGCUACCGGUCGGGGAUGUUCACCAUCACAGGACCAGCACAGGGGCUUCUGACCCUGUCUUCAGGAAGUCCUGGGCCAGUUGAGUUUCUGGGGGUCUGUAGCCUUGAGCUGUGUCCUGACGCCUGAAUUCAGGGCCCUGCUCACUCUGGGUUCAGCCCAGAGAAAGGGGAGCAGCAGCCCCUCGAUGUGCUGGGCCUGGGGCCCCCAGCCUGCACCCCUGUGCUCUCCCGGCUCCAGAGGCCUCCCAGCAGCCACCCAGGUGGUAUCCAUUUACCCCGUUCGAAGCUGGCAGUGGUGCAUGGGGACAGGGCCGGGUCUUCACCGAGGCCGUGCCCCUGCGGGACUGUUGUCCCUUUUAGGCCGGUAUCCAUGCAGAUCUUUGUUGUUCUUAGGAAUUAUGUGUCUGUCUUUUCUUUUUAAAAAAAAAUUUAAGGUUUAUUUUAUUGUUUUUUUUUAAAUUUUUUUU